rnacentral:rRNA from 1 species
UACGUAGGUGACAAGCGUUGUCCGGAUUUACUGGGCGUAAAGAGCGCGCAGGCGGUCGAUCAAGUCGCGUGUGAAAGCCCCCGGCUCAACUGGGGAGGGUCACGCGAUACUGAUCGACUGGAAGGCAGGAGAGGGUAGUGGAAUUCCCGGUGUAGUGGUGAAAUGCGUAGAUAUCGGGAGGAACACCAGUGGCGAAGGCGACUACCUGGCCUGUUCUUGACGCUGAGGCGCGAAAGCUAGGGGAGCAAACAGG